rnacentral:tRNA from 1 species
GGGCCUGUGGCUCAGCCAGGUUAGAGUGUAUCGACAUAUAACGGCUGGCUCUUAACCAGCAUGCCGUGGGUUCGAAUCCCACCAGGCCCG